GCCCCUUCGGGGGUAAGUAGAGUGGCGUCCGGGUGAGUAACACGUGGGUAAUCUGCCUUCGGGUGGGGAAUAACCCAGGGAAACUUGGGCUAAUACCGCAUAAUGCAGCGGCACCUAAUGGUGAUUAGUUGUUAAAGCGGGGGAUCGCAAGACCUCGCGCCUGAAGAGGAGCCUGCGGCAGAUUAGCUAGUUGGUGAGGUAAUGGCUCACCAAGGCUUCGAUCUGCAGCUGGUCUGAGAGGACGGCCAACCACACUGGCACUGACACACGGGCCAGACUCCUACGGGAGGCAGCAGUGGGGAAUUUUGGGCAAUGGGCGAAAGCCUGACCCAGCAACGCCGCGUGAGGGAGGAAAUCCUUCGGGAUGUAAACCUCACAAGCAAGGGAAGAGAGCUACGGGCUGAAUAAUCCCGUAGUGCGACGGUACCUUGCGUAAGCCACGGCUAACUACGUGCCAGCAGCCGCGGUAAUACGUAGGUGGCAAGCGUUGUUCGGAAUUAUUGGGCGUAAAGGGCGCGUAGGCGGUUUGUUAAGUCGGCUGUGAAAGCCCGGGGCUCAACCCCGGAGGGUCAGCCGAUACUGGCAGACUAGAGUACGGAAGAGGUAGCUGGAAUUCCCGGUGUAGCGGUGAAAUGCGUAGAUAUCGGGAGGAACACCUGAGGCGAAGGCGGGCUACUGGGCCGAUACUGACGCUGAUGCGCGAAAGCCAGGGGAGCGAACGGGAUUAGAUACCCCGGUAGUCCUGGCCCUAAACGAUGGACACUUGGUGUGUCGGGUAUUCCAGUCCCGAUGUGCCGGAGCUAACGCGUUAACUGU
rnacentral:rRNA from 1 species